UACAGAGGUGGCAAGCGUUGUUCGGAAUUACUGGGCGUAAAGGGCGAGUAGGUGGCCAUCUAAGUCAGACGUGAAAUCCCCCGGCUUAACCUGGGAACUGCGUCUGAUACUGGACGGCUUGAGUAUGGGAGAGGAACGUAGAAUUCCAGGUGUAGCGGUGAAAUGCGUAGAUAUCUGGAGGAAUACCGGUGGCGAAGGCGGCGUUCUGGACCAUUACUGACACUGAAUCGCGAAAGCUAGGGGAGCAAACAGG
rnacentral:rRNA from 1 species